UACGGGGGGGGCAAGCGUUGUUCGGAAUUAUUGGGCGUAAAGGGUUUGUAGGUGGCUUGUUAAGUCAGACGUGAAAUCCCUCAGCUUAACUGGGGAACUGCGUCUGAUACUGGCGAGCUUGAGUGCAGGAGAGGAGCGUGGAAUUCCAGGUGUAGCGGUGAAAUGCGUAGAUAUCUGGAGGAACACCGGUGGCGAAGGCGGCGUUCUGGACUGCAACUGACACUGAGAAACGAAAGCCAGGGUAGCAAACGGG
rnacentral:rRNA from 1 species